UGCAAGUCGAGCGGACUUUAAAAGCUUGCUUUUAAAGUUAGCGGCGGACGGGUGAGUAACACGUGGGCAACCUGCCUGUAAGACUGGGAUAACUUCGGGAAACCGGAGCUAAUACCGGAUAAUCCUUUUCCUCUCAUGAGGAAAAGCUGAAAGACGGUUUACGCUGUCACUUACAGAUGGGCCCGCGGCGCAUUAGCUAGUUGGUGAGGUAACGGCUCACCAAGGCGACGAUGCGUAGCCGACCUGAGAGGGUGAUCGGCCACACUGGGACUGAGACACGGCCCAGACUCCUACGGGAGGCAGCAGUAGGGAAUCUUCCGCAAUGGACGAAAGUCUGACGGAGCAACGCCGCGUGAGUGAUGAAGGUUUUCGGAUCGUAAAACUCUGUUGUUAGGGAAGAACAAGUACAAGAGUAACUGCUUGUACCUUGACGGUACCUAACCAGAAAGCCACGGCUAACUACGUGCCAGCAGCCGCGGUAAUACGUAGGUGGCAAGCGUUGUCCGGAAUUAUUGGGCGUAAAGCGCGCGCAGGCGGUCCUUUAAGUCUGAUGUGAAAGCCCACGGCUCAACCGUGGAGGGUCAUUGGAAACUGGGGGACUUGAGUGCAGAAGAGAAGAGUGGAAUUCCACGUGUAGCGGUGAAAUGCGUAGAGAUGUGGAGGAACACCAGUGGCGAAGGCGACUCUUUGGUCUGUAACUGACGCUGAGGCGCGAAAGCGUGGGGAGCAAACAGGAUUA
rnacentral:rRNA from 1 species